GAGUGGCAACACCAGUGGAGUUGUCUCCGUGUGGGACAUCAGUGGAGCGUUCAGUGACUGCAAGCAGCUGGAGCCAGUGAUGACUUUUCUGCCCCAGGACGACUGCACCAAUGGAGUCAGGUCCUCAGUUCACUGAAGGAGCUUGGGGCCAGGGUUUGGGAGGAAGGUGGAUCUCUCGGGGAUUGUCCUGACCUAGGUGCUGACAGACUGCUCUCUUCUCCAGCCUUCACCCUACCUUGCCUCUGCUGGCCACUGCUUCUGGCCAGCGCAUGUUUCCAGAGCCCACCAAUAGCGGGGAUGAAGGUGAGCCGGAGCUGGACCUUCCCCUGCUCUCCCUGCGCCACGCCCAUCCUGAAUGUCAGCUACAGCUCUGGUGGUGUGGAGGGGGACCUGACCCCAGUAACCCUGAUGAGGACCAGGAUGAGAAGGGACAAGGAAGGACAGAGGCUGUCGGAAUGAGUUAAUAUAAAGACUUUGUAUCACA
rnacentral:lncRNA from 1 species